AGUCGGUCACUUGUCGGGAGCUGGAGGUAUUUUUCUGGCUUUGGUAACCUUGCCGCGAUGUGGUUCGAGAUUCUCCCCGGGCUCGCUGCCAUGGGCGUGUGCUUGCUCAUCCCCGGAAUUGCCACUGCGCACAUUCACAGGUUCAGCAACGGGGGCAAGGAAAAAAGGGUUGCCUGUUAUUCAUAUCAGUGGUCUUUGAUGGAGAGAGAUAGGCGCAUCUCUGGAGUUAAUCGUUACUAUGUGUCAAAGGGUUUGGAGAAUAUUGAUUAAGGAAGCACUUCCUG